GACGAACGCUGGCGGCGUGCUUAACACAUGCCAGUCGAACGGAAAGGCCCUGCUUGCAGGGUACUCGAGUGGCGAACGGGUGAGUAACACGUGGGUGAUCUGCCCUGCACUUCGGGAUAAGCCUGGGAAACUGGGUCUAAUACCGGAUAGGAGCCAUUUUUAGUGUGAUGGUUGGAAAGUUUUUUCGGUGUAGGAUGAGCUCGCGGCCUAUCAGCUUGUUGGUGGGGUAAUGGCCUACCAAGGCGGCGACGGGUAGCCGGCCUGAGAGGGUGGACGGCCACAUUGGGACUGAGAUACGGCCCAGACGCCUACGGGAGGCAGCAGUGGGGAAUAUUGCACAAUGGGCGCAAGCCUGAUGCAGCGACGCCGCGUGGGGGAUGACGGCCUUCGGGUUGUAAACUCCGUUCGCUAGGGACGAAGCUUUUUGUGACGGUACCUAGAGAAGAAGCACCGGCUAACUACGUG
rnacentral:rRNA from 1 species